GGGUAUCCACGGUUCAUCUUUUCAUAUACAUGUUGUUCAAAAAGGAGAAGAAGAAAUGGAUAAUGGGCUGCGCCUUCAAGUGUGUGUACUUAGAGCUGCAUCUGCAAUUUCAAGCUUAAAUGGGUUUCAUCUUGUCUAAAAUAUCUUUUGUGAAAAUAAUGUACGAAAAAGUAUUGCAUAUUUAUUAACUAUGCUAAAUAAAAAGUGCCUACAUGUUUACCGAGGGGAAAAUGCCAUUUUUUGUUUGGGGAUUCUUUUCUCGUGACCAUCGGAUUCUAUUCUGCACCUAACCACAUGCAUUUUCUAUAAAUGACUUAUGGCAAGCAAGAACUGCUGCACAUAUAUAUAAUAACAUGAAAAUGAGGAAAAAAACAUUUUUACUGGUUCACCAGCAUACCGUACCGUACCAUGCAAUAAUGCUUUGAGCUAUAAGUGGUAAGCCUAACUUCUUUCAAAGCAAAUGCUUUCAACUUUCAUGAGUGAAGAUGGAAGCAUCAUUGCAGUUGCAGACACGCCAAAGUGGUUACAGAGGCCAGAGUGAGCACAGCACACAUGCAGGAAAGCUACUAAAACAACAGACGACAGGUAAUUUGGAAGCACCGGAACAUAAACUGUGUCUAUUAUUAUUUGGUGUGGGUCUGGUGGGCUAAACUGCUGCAUGCCUGCAUGCAUGUGUCAAGCAACAGACCAUAUCACCACCGCUGCACCAUUCGAUUUUCUGUCACAUUGCAUGAUGAUCUAACACAGCAUAUAUCAAAAUAUCGGCCACUUCCACACUAACAUUUUAUUAGCCAGACUUUUGUCUACUUAAGGGGGUGUUUGGCACGGCUCAUAACGAGAGGCUCGUGUAGAGGAGGCAGAGCGUUUUGGAGAAGUCAUAAUUUGUGGCUUCAUCAAAACGGCUUAGACUCCUCUGCUCUUUACUUAAAAAUAGCUUCUUCACAAAAACGUUUGGCAGGACUCCUCUGGAGGAGCCAGAGUCAGAACCGAAGAGGAGCAGUACCAAACAGACCCUAGGUUCAGUCAAUUUUUGUCAUUUUGGCACCACACACUAUCAUGUUUUCUCUCUCUCUCGGAAGUGCACUAAACUUUAGUUACAUUUUGGUAUCUAUUUUAAAGAUUUUUUAAUCUAUUCAAAAACUAAAUUUCAUUAAUAAAAUAACGGGUGCUCUUUCUGAGAGAGGAGUAUUUAAUUAGCUAGUAAUUAUGGGGCACCCUUCUAGAGAUCCACUAAGCAUCCUAUAUUAGUCCUCUUGUGUAUCAGGAGUAGCUCAUGCACACAUAUUCAACAGAAGGAUAAUAUAAUUAACCAUGCAUCAUAUACAUACAUACAUACUCCUAUAAAAUAACAUAAUAUAUAUGUCUCCUCUUUCUCUUUUUGUACAUUGGAAAUUGAUAGUGGGGAGCACAAUAUAUAAUUAAGAUGAGGCUAGUGUUUUGAGUUGAGUUAGGUCCAAGGUCUUAGUAUGUUGUGGGCUUCGAUAGACCUAGACCCGAGGCCCAUUGGCUUGUGUGUAUAGAGGGUAGGACCGGAUUCCACUCGCAAUCUAACAGUUUACCUUGUCCUUUUGUUCUCCCCUACAAACUCUCCUUUUCUGAUUGUCAACUGGUGAUUGCGUCUUUUAACCACAACCUAUCCAGGUGGCAGGCCUCCCUUCUCAGUAGGGUGGGGCAUCUCGUCAUUGCUUCCAUUGUGCUUAGCGCCCUUACCCUCCACUACAUAUUGGCUAUUGGGCUUCACAAAAUUGUUAUCAAGGCAAUUGACAGUCAUCCUAGGGCUUUUUUGGAAUGCAGAAGACUCUUGCCAUGGAUCCAUAUUAAUGACCGUCACCUGGAUCCAAGGUAUGCCAGCGACCACCCGACAUUACCCUUGCUUGUAGGUUCGCCCCUGGGAUGGGCUUGAUAGUAGGUGUGUACGAUGGAAACGUGCAAGCCCUUUUGAUCUUGUGAUGCUUAUGACGCACUGGCUCCCUCCUAACAUACAAUACUUCCAUGUACUAUGGAUCUAGCGAACUGAGGACCUUUGUUCCAUUAUCUAAAAAAUGGAUCUAGCGAACAAAAGUGUCAAACAAGGAGAAGAUCUUCACAUGGUUGUACUUCAAGGAUCGUCCAAGCACCAAGGAGAACCUACUACACAAACAUGUCCUCAAUCAUGGUAUUUGUUGUGGACGUAGUCACCCCAUGGAAGACAGACAUCACGUCUUCUUUGGGUACCAUCUCAAUAGCGAGUUGUGGAGUUGCAUUAGUCUGUCCUCUCUAGCGUCUGCCAACGACUGGUCUCUGCCAUCUGCUCUUGGAAAUGAUCUAGCGACUUGGCCAUCCAUCCUUCUAGCUAUAUACUAUGGCGUUUGUGUGAUGCCAAAAAUGGUGUAGCCUUUAGAAAAGAGACACUCAACAAGCCAAAUCAUUUCUAAUAUUUGUGAUGGCUUAGCCAUUUGGGAGGGGAGGUUCGCUUCCAUCUCUAUGAACCUGGAUUUGUGCCAGUGGCAAGCUUUUCUACGAUCAUGUACGAAAACCAUAAUAAUCCGUUGUUGACUGCAUUGACCCUCAGGGGUAUUUAAUUAAGGUACAUAAGGGAGCAUAAUAUAAUCCUGUUCUUUUUCUAGAAUUCUAUCUUUUGUCUCUAGAAUUUAUAUACAUCUUCAAUUAUCUAUAACCAUACAUAUCUUUAUUUCAAACACAACCUUCACAGGGAAAAUAUGUUCACGGUAGCUGGAUGCAUAUGUAUUGCUCUAAAUUGAGUUGCAUGCCAAGAUUUCAGUUUGGCGUACGUCCCCUUGAUCAUCACGGCUAAAUCCCUAAACUGAGGAUAAUGACGAUGGGCACAAAGGGAUGGAUGGAAUUCCCAGGUCUCGGCCUCUCGGGCAUAUCCAGGAAAGCCUUAUGUAUGUCCUUUUUUUUUGAGAGAGAGAGAGAGAGAGUGGAAAGCCUUAUGUCAUACUGAAUGAUGAGAAAUGUUGAUGGGCCUAGGCCUUCACCUGCCGGCCCAGAAGAGAACAGCAGGCUUGGAGACCUGGAGUUGCAGUUGAAUAUAUAUCACAUAUUCUCUUUG
rnacentral:lncRNA from 1 species